rnacentral:piRNA from 1 species
UCAGGAAAAUCACAUUCAAAUGAUUGUCUUC